rnacentral:rRNA from 1 species
AUUGAACGCUGGCGGCAGGCCUAACACAUGCAAGUCGAGCGGAUGACGGGAGCUUGCUCCUUGAUUCAGCGGCGGACGGGUGAGUAAUGCCUAGGAAUCUGCCUGGUAGUGGGGGGCAACGUUUCGAAAGGAACGCUAAUACCGCAUACGUCCUACGGGAGAAAGCAGGGGACCUUCGGGCCUUGCGCUAUCAGAUGAGCCUAGGUCGGAUUAGCUAGUAGGUGAGGUAAUGGCUCACCUAGGCGACGAUCCGUAACUGGUCUGAGAGGAUGAUCAGUCACACUGGAACUGAGACACGGUCCAGACUCCUACGGGAGGCAGCAGUGGGGAAUAUUGGACAAUGGGCGAAAGCCUGAUCCAGCCAUGCCGCGUGUGUGAAGAAGGUCUUCGGAUUGUAAAGCACUUUAAGUUGGGAGGAAGGGCAGUAAGUUAAUACCUUGCUGUUUUGACGUUACUGACAGAAUAAGCACCGGCUAACUACGUGCCAGCAGCCGCCGCCGUA